rnacentral:rRNA from 1 species
GACAGAGGGGGCAAGCGUUGCUCGGAAUCACUGGGCGUAAAGGGCGCGUAGGCGGGAUGGCAAGUCGGUCGUGAAAUCCUUCGGCUCAACCGAAGAACGUCGGCCGAUACUGCCGUUCUUGAGGGAUGCAGAGGAGAUUGGAAUUCCCGGUGUAGCGGUGAAAUGUGUAGAGAUCGGGAGGAACACCGGUGGCGAAGGCGGGUCUCUGGGCAUCUCCUGACGCUGAGGAGCGAAAGCGUGGGGAGCAAACGGG